GGUUAAGCGACUAAGCGUACACGGUGGAUGCCCUGGCAGUCAGAGGCGAUGAAGGGCGUGCUAAUCUGCGAUAAGCGCCGGUAAGGUGAUAUGAACCGUUAUAACCGGCGAUACCCGAAUGGGGAAACCCAGUGUGAUUCGUCACACUAUCAUUAACUGAAUCCAUAGGUUAAUGAGGCGAACCGGGGGAACUGAAACAUCUAAGUACCCCGAGGAAAAGAAAUCAACCGAGAUUCCCCCAGUAGCGGCGAGCGAACGGGGAGGAGCCCAGAGCCUGAAUCAGCAUGUGUGUUAGUGGAAGCGUCUGGAAAGGCGCGCGAUACAGGGUGACAGCCCCGUACACAAAAGCGCAUGUGCUGUGAGCUCGAUGAGUAGGGCGGGACACGUGGUAUCCUGUCUGAAUAUGGGGGGACCAUCCUCCAAGGCUAAAUACUCCUGACUGACCGAUAGUGAACCAGUACCGUGAGGGAAAGGCGAAAAGAACCCCGGCGAGGGGAGUGAAAAAGAACCUGAAACCGUGUACGUACAAGCAGUGGGAGCACAGGUUUACCUGUGUGACUGCGUACCUUUUGUAUAAUGGGUCAGCGACUUAUAUUCUGUAGCAAGGUUAACCGUAUAGGGGAGCCGGAGGGAAACCGAGUCUUAAUUGGGCGUUAAGUUGCAGGGUAUAGACCCGAAACCCGGUGAUCUAGCCAUGGGCAGGUUGAAGGUUGGGUAACACUAACUGGAGGACCGAACCGACUAAUGUUGAAAAAUUAGCGGAUGACCUGUGGCUGGGGGUGAAAGGCCAAUCAAACCGGGAGAUAGCUGGUUCUCCCCGAAAGCUAUUUAGGUAGCGCCUCGUGAAUUCAUCUCCGGGGGUAGAGCACUGUUUCGGCUAGGGGGCCAUCCCGGCUUACCAACCCGAUGCAAACUGCGAAUACCGGAGAAUGUUAUCACGGGAGACACACGGCGGGUGCUAACGUCCGUCGUGAAGAGGGAAACAACCCAGACCGCCAGCUAAGGUCCCAAAGUCAUGGUUAAGUGGGAAACGAUGUGGGAAGGCCCAGACAGCCAGGAUGUUGGCUUAGAAGCAGCCAUCAUUUAAAGAAAGCGUAAUAGCUCACUGGUCGAGUCGGCCUGCGCGGAAGAUGUAACGGGGCUAAACCAUGCACCGAAGCUGCGGCAGCGA
rnacentral:rRNA from 1 species